UACGAAGGGGGCUAGCGUUGCUCGGAAUCACUGGGCGUAAAGGGUGCGUAGGCGGGUCUUAAGUCAGGGGUGAAAUCCUGGAGCUCAACUCCAGAACUGCCUUCGAUACUGCGGUGCUUUGAGGACUGGAGAGGAGACUGGAAUUCAUGGUGUAGCAGUGAAAUGCGUAGAGAUCAUGAGGAAGACCAGUGGCGAAGGCGGGUCUCUGGACAGUUCUGACAUGAGGCACGAAGGCCAGGGGAGGCGAACGGG
rnacentral:rRNA from 1 species